CAAGAAAUAGUUUAAUUAAAAUAUUAAUUUUGGAGAUUAAAGUUAAAAUUUGUUUUUUUCUUGA